rnacentral:snoRNA from 1 species
GGGGUAUGUUCACAGCCGGGGGCCUGAAGAAAUGGCUCGUCUCUACAACACACCCAAUGGGAAUUUGGGUUCUUUGUGAAGAGGGGUACAAAACUCGUGUGGCCUUGCUAUGAACAAAUACCCAACACAU